rnacentral:rRNA from 1 species
UACAGAGGGUGCGAGCGUUUAAUCGGAAUUACUGGGCGUAAAGCGUGCGUAGACGGUUCUGUAAGUCGGAUGUGAAAUCCCCGGGCUCAACCUGGGAAUUGCAUUCGAGACUGCAAAGCUUGGGUGCGGAAGAGGGAAGCGGAAUUUCCGGUGUAGCGGUGAAAUGCGUAGAUAUCGGAAGGAACACCUGUGGCGAAAGCGGCUCACUGGACCAUAACUGACGCUGAUGCACGAAAGCUGGGGGAGCAAACAGG